rnacentral:rRNA from 1 species
GAUGAACGCUAGCUACAGGCUUAACACAUGCAAGUCGAGGGGAAACGGCAUUGAGUGCUUGCACUCUUUGGACGUCGACCGGCGCACGGGUGAGUAACGCGUAUCCAACCUUCCCAUUACUGUGGGACAACCUGCCGAAAGGCAGACUAAUACCGCAUAGUCUUCGAUGACGGCAUCAGAUUUGAAGUAAAGAUUUAUCGGUAAUGGAUGGGGAUGCGUCUGAUUAGCUUGUUGGCGGGGUAACGGCCCACCAAGGCUACGAUCAGUAGGGGUUCUGAGAGGAAGGUCCCCCACAUUGGAACUGAGACACGGUCCAAACUCCUACGGGAGGCAGCAGUGAGGAAUAUUGGUCAAUGGACGGAAGUCUGAACCAGCCAAGUAGCGUGCAGGAUGACGGCCCUAUGGGUUGUAAACUGCUUUUGUAUGGGGAUAAAGUUAGGGACGUGUCCCUAUUUGCAGGUACCAUACGAAUAAGGACCGGCUAAUUCCGUG